rnacentral:rRNA from 2 species
AGCAGCCGCGGUAAUUCCAGCUCCAAUAGCGUAUAUUAAAGUUGUUGCAGUUAAAAAGCUCGUAGUUGAAUUUCGGGAUCAAUUUAUUGGUCGUGCUAUUGUACGUACUGGUAUUAUUGAUUUCUACCUUCUGACGAACCAUGAUGUCAUUAAUUUGGUGUCUUGGGGAAUCAGGACUGUUACUUUGAAAAAUUAGAGUGUUUAAAGCAGGCUCACGCUUGAAUACAUUAGCAUGGAAUAACGAAAUAGGACGUUUGAUUCUAUUUUGUUGGUUUCUAGGAUCGACGUAAUGAUUAAUAGGGAUAGUUGGGGGCAUUAGUAUUCAAUUGUCAGAGGUGAAAUUCUUGGAUUUAUUGAAGACUAACUACUGCGAAAGCAUUUGCCAAGGAUGUUUUCAUUAAUCAAGAACGAAAGUUAGGGGAUCGAAGACGAUCAGAUACCGUCGUAGUC